GAUGAACGCUGGCGGCGUGCUUAACACAUGCGAGUCGAACGAAGCUGCUUAACUGAUCUUCUUCGGAAUUGACGUUUUGUAGACUGAGUGGUGGACGGGUGAGUAACGCGUGGGUAACCUGCCCUGUACAGGGGGAUAACAGUCAGAAAUGACUGCUAAUACCGCAUAAGACCACAGCACCGCAUGGUGCAGGGGUAAAAACUCCGGUGGUACAGGAUGGACCCGCGUCUGAUUAGCUGGUUGGUGAGGUAACGGCUCACCAAGGCGACGAUCAGUAGCCGGCUUGAGAGAGUGAACGGCCACAUUGGGACUGAGACACGGCCCAAACUCCUACGGGAGGCAGCAGUGGGGAAUAUUGCACAAUGGGGGAAACCCUGAUGCAGCGACGCCGCGUGAGUGAAGAAGUAUCUCGGUAUGUAAAGCUCUAUCAGCAGGGAAGAAAAUGACGGUAC
rnacentral:rRNA from 1 species